rnacentral:siRNA from 1 species
GACGUGACGUAGAGUUCGGGCC